GCCCUCAGGAUUAAGGGAUGCAUGCUGAGGUGGGUAGUAGUCCAUAGCCAUGUUGCCUGCAAUCUGUUUCUUAAAUGGUACCUAUCUCAAGGCAUCAGAACAAAAACCUCUGUAAAAGACAAGUGGGCUAAGGAGGAAAAAAAUUGCCUCCAUUGUACAGAAACUGAGACAUUUGGACUUUCCAAAGAAGGAAUGUGAGUUGGUCAACAAACAUAGAGAGGCAAAAUGGAAGCUUAAGCAGGAAUCCAGGAACAACAGAAACAUGACUGAGUGCCCCAUCUUUUACCUCUAAGAAGAUUCAUAUGGAAACACAAGACAACUCCAAUAGCAAAAGCAAUUUUGGACAGCAAAAACAAAGCUGUAGGAAUCACAAUACCAGACGUCAGCAUGUACUACAAGGCAGCUAUAAUCAAAACAGUCUGGCAACGGCACAGAAAUAGACAUACGGAU